rnacentral:rRNA from 1 species
AUUGAACGCUGGCGGCAUGCCUUACACAUGCAAGUCGAACGGCAGCGGACCUUCGGGUGCCGGCGAGUGGCGAACGGGUGAGUAAUAUAUCGGAACGUACCUUUCAGUGGGGGAUAACGUAGCGAAAGUUACGCUAAUACCGCAUAUUCUGUGAGCAGGAAAGCAGGGGAUCGCAAGACCUUGCGCUGAUUGAGCGGCCGAUAUCAGAUUAGCUAGUUGGUGAGGUAAAGGCUCACCAAGGCGACGAUCUGUAGCGGGUCUGAGAGGAUGAUCCGCCACACUGGAACUGAGACACGGUCCAGACUCCUACGGGAGGCAGCAGUGGGGAAUUUUGGACAAUGGGGGCAACCCUGAUCCAGCCAUGCCGCGUGUGUGAAGAAGGCCUCGGUUGUAAGCACUUUGUUGGGUAGAACGG